CUAGCCAUCAGCUUAUGCAAACUUCUUAUUUUGGUAAUGAGGAAACUGAGGCAGGUAUCCUUUUAAUUGCAUUUCAGGUUGUCUAGUGAAUUAUUUUAUCAUUUUUGGUUUUGCUACCCCAUAAUUUGACACAUUUUUCAUGAUUAUGGUAGUGGUAGGAUCCCCAUGAAUGGUGACAUGGGCAACAGUAUAGAUGUGGCCUAUCAUUAGGUAUAGAAGUACAUAGUAGUUUAGUAUUCCCUAAGCCAUUUGUCUCCUGACAAUCUGACACUGAAAAACUCAACCUUGUUUUCUUCUGACCAUGGCAACUCUUAAUGCCAAUUCCAAAAGAGGGCUUUAGAAGAUAAGAAAUACUUGGCCCUAUAUUCUUUCUCUUUCUCUAGUAAAGCAGGAACGAUGGAGAAAGAAUGUGUGAGAUUGGUAUUAGAUCUUGUAAGAAACUUUAGAGAUUUUGGUGAAGCUAGUAAUUAGAGCAGAGUUAAUUUAGUUCAUUGAAUUCAUUUUAAAUAUAUCUUCUGGGGAAGAAUCCCCAAAAGACAACAGUGAUUUUUAAAGCUGCAUCUACAAGGACUCAAAUAAAUCCCUGGAUACACUUUAAUUGGCAUAGUAAUAUAUUAGGAAGCUACUUAUCUAUUUUGUGUAACUACAUCAUAUUUAAAGACGUCUUAUACUUUUGUUUGUCCUCAUCUGAAAAGUAGGGAUAUUGAAAAUUCUGAUGAUUGUGGAGGAAGAAAUACUAAGAUUGCCAACUUCUCUAAUCUGGAGCAGGAAGAAACAGAGACAGAAUUACUCCAAAAGGAAAAAAAAAGGGCGAAAAAGAUUAAUGGGUACAUGAUUUACAUUGCUUGUAUUGGGGACAAGGAGGAGGCCCUAUCUUCAGGACACAUGGAACAUGAACACCAGUUCAGGCCUUACUUCUGACAUUCCUCAGGUAAAACUUGGGUUAUAAUAUGGCUACUGAAAAAAUUAGUGAUAAUCAUGGAUGAAGGCUCAUGCUUUUAAGGAGAAAACUAGUAUGGCCAAGAGCUAAUGGGACCACUGGGUAAAAUGUAGCAAGAAAUGAGAAUGGAAAGAAAAAAUGUGAAUCAAGCAAGCUUAAUUAAAUAACUCACAGUGUGAAUUGAUCAGAGAAGAUAGACAUGGGGCAGUCUUCUGGGUACUGAAUAGAUUAGGCACCUGACAGGUGAAGCAGGGUGAAGUUUUGUAGGAUUCUUAUAUAGUGUCAAAUGGGAUAUGUCACUGAGAUCAGGGAGCUUAGACCUUAGACCUGAAGUGUAAAUCAAGGUACAGGAAUGGUGCU
rnacentral:lncRNA from 1 species